rnacentral:rRNA from 1 species
GACGAACGCUGGCGGCGUGCUUAACACAUGCAAGUCGAACGGAAAGGCCCUGCUUUUGUGGGGUGCUCGAGUGGCGAAAGGGUGAGUAACACGUGAGAAACCUGCCCUUGACUUUGGGAUAACGUCAGGAAACUGGGGCUAAUACCGGAUAGGAGCUCCUGCUGCGUGGUGGGGGUUGGAAGGUUUCGGCGGUUGGGGAUGGACUCGCGGCUUAUCAGCUUGUUGGUGGGGUAGUGGCUUACCAAGGCUUUGACGGGUAGCCGGCCUGAGAGGGUGACCGGCCACAUUGGGACUGAGAUACGGCCCAGACGCCUACGGGAGGCAGCAGUGGGGAAUAUUGCACAAUGGGCGGAAGCCUGAUGCAGCAACGCCGCGUGCGGGAUGACGGCCUUCGGGUUGUAAACCGCUUUCGCCUGUGACGAAGCGGGAGUGACGGUAAUGGGUAAAGAAGCACCGGCUAACUACGUG